UACGGAGGGUGCAAGCGUUAAUUGGAAUUACUGGGCGUAAAGCGCACGCAGGCGGUUUGUUAAGUCAGAUGUGAAAUCCCCGGGCUCAACCUGGGAACUGCAUUUGAAACUGGCAAGCUUGAGUCUUGUAGAGGGGGGUAGAAUUCCAGGUGUAGCGGUGAAAUGCGUAGAGAUCUGGAGGAAUACCGGUGGCGAAGGCGGCCCCCUGGACAAAGACCUGACGCUCAGGUGCGAAAGCGUGGGGAGCAAACAGGAUUAGAUACCCGUGGUAAGUCACGCU
rnacentral:rRNA from 1 species